AUCACUAUAUUUUGUCAAACGUAAAUAAAUAUCAGAAAAAUAAAUACCUUUUCUCUCCCCCCAAAAUCAAAACCCUAACCUUCGAAGCUCUCACGGAAACGCCACCGAUCCCCAUUUCCUCACCAAUCCAAGAAAAAAAUGAGUAGACAUUCGAGCAGAACUGUCUAUGUUGGGAAUCUACCUGGCGAUAUCCGUGAAAGAGAAGUUGAAGAUUUGUUUAUGAAGUAUGGACACAUUACUCAUAUUGACCUAAAGGUGCCACCAAGACCUCCUGGCUAUGCAUUUGUAGAGUUCGAUGAUGUUCAAGAUGCUGAGGAUGCAAUUCGUGGGCGCGAUGGCUAUGAUUUUGAUGGGCACCGAUUACGGGUGGAAGCUGCACAUGGCGGUCGUGGUAAUUCAUCUUCAAGAGAUCGAUAUAGUAGUCACAGCAAUGGUCGGGGUGGACGUGGAGUAUCCAGACGCUCUGAAUAUCGUGUUCUAGUCUCUGGAUUGCCCUCUUCUGCAUCCUGGCAGGAUCUUAAGGAUCACAUGCGAAAAGCAGGGGAUGUUUGUUUUUCCCAAGUUUUUCAUGACGGCAGAGGUACCACUGGGAUUGUGGAUUACACAAACUAUGAUGAUAUGAAAUAUGCUAUCAAAAAGCUUGAUGACUCUGAGUUCCGGAAUGCAUUUUCCAAGGCUUAUGUUCGAGUGAGGGAAUAUGAUUCAAGGCGGGACUCUAGAAGUCCUAGUCGGGGCCCAUCUCAUUCUAGAGGAAGAAGCUAUAGCCGCAGUCGUAGCCGUAGCUACAGUCCAGGCCAUAGCCGAAGUAAAUCUCCAAAGGGUAAAUCUUCACAACGAUCACCAGCUAAAUCACCAGCAAAAUCGGUUUCUCGCUCUCGUUCAAGAUCAAAGUCCCGUUCUUUAUCAGGAUAUGGAAACUUGCGGCAUACUGGAAAUUGGAAAUUAGGGACUUGGUGGGAUUUUGUUCAAUUGCCUGCAACUCAAUUUGUUGUGGAGGCAAUCGGGAUUUGGAAAUCUCCACCACUGAGCACUAGGGAUAAUUUCAUUACAAUUGUUGGCUUCAAGAUUUGCCAAGUCAAUAGGGUGCAUUGUCUGGAUUUUGUGGUGCAGUGAAAGAUUUCUUUUCUCCAGUCCACUGGUGUCUUAAAGUUGAACCCUGUGAUGGUUUAUUUUUCAUUCAUUUUUCAUCAUGUUAUUAUGAUGCAUGUGUUGCUCAUAACUUUUCGUUCUUCGGCCUUCUCUCUGUUAUGCUGUUUUAUAUUUUAUGAUUUUUGUUUUUACCUCUCUUUGGUUUGCAAACUGUGACAUUGGAGAGGCGUCAAGGCUGUUGGAUCAAAUUUGAUAAGGGAACUUGUGGAUUUAAAUUCUGUUGUUUGUGGAACUUUUGCAGAUCACGAUCAAGGUCUAGGUCUCCAUUGCCCCUGCGCAAUAAAAGCCCCAAAAAGCGCAGUGCUAGUAGGAGUCCAAGUAGGAGCAGGAGCAGGAGCAAGAGCUUGUCCAGGUGAGUUCUGAUUGUUACUAUUGAAGAAGUGGAUGGCACUGAGUGCUACAAAGUUUCUGGUAUAUUGACGUUGGGCUGAUAAACACUUAUUUGGGUUUUAAGUUAUUUGAACUUUAAACUCCUUUGAAUUUGUACUUGAGACUUGUGCCUUUUGGCACCUUAGGCUUUGAGGAAUUUGUUGGACCGUAAUUUUCUUUGCUGUAGUAGACUGUUGAAUAUCAAACUUACUAUUUGGUUUAUUUGGUAAUUGGAAUUGGCUUUAUGACAAUUAUUGUCGCUGUAA